GAGACACCCUUAUGGGUCAGAACUUGCUUCAGUUGUGCUUUGGCGCUCACUGAGUCUGCCCCUUAAGUGUGUUGCU
rnacentral:pre_miRNA from 1 species